rnacentral:lncRNA from 1 species
AUCAAAUCAAGAUAAAGGUGCAAGUUUUGAAACUGCUUUUGAAUUUGUCUGAAAAUCCAGCCAUGACAGAAGGACUUCUCCGUGCCCAAGUGGAUUCAUCAUUCCUUUCCCUUUAUGACAGCCACGUAGCAAAGGAGAUUCUUCUUCGAGUACUUACGCUAUUUCAGAAUAUAAAGAACUGCCUCAAAAUAGAAGGCCAUUUAGCUGUGCAGCCUACUUUCACUGAAGGUUCAUUGUUUUUCCUGUUACAUGGAGAAGAAUGUGCCCAGAAAAUAAGAGCUUUAGUUGAUCACCAUGAUGCAGAGGUGAAGGAAAAGGUUGUAACAAUAAUACCCAAAAUCUGAUUGGUCAUAUUUUUCCAAAGAGUAAUGCAGUCUGGAUAUAAACGUAUUUUCUGUCUUCCUUAUAAGGGGAUUCUCCCAGCUGCUAAAUUUAAACAGUAAAUAUCACAUUUUGUCAUUAACACAGCUAUAACUUGCCGUGGUUCUCAGAUUUAUUUUGGACUAUUUUGAUGCCAAGUGAAUAUAAGAGCUUGUACUGAAACCAUUUAUUUCUUUCUAUUUUGCUAUUUGCAAAUGCUUGUUAUCUUCCCUACAUGAAGUGGCAGUAACCUUUUUCACAUUUAAGCUACCCUUCUACCUUUUGAAGUGAUUUGCAGUUACUCAUCUGAGACAGCAUCAGUAUUUGACUAAAUCAUUGUUUCACAACUGAAUAGUCUUGUUCUUUUAGUAGCAACGAAAUCCUAAGCUCUUGAGGCCAUUCACCUGCCAACCUGACCAUACUGCUUUCAAAAGUCUUUUCUCAUCAGUAGAAUCUAUUUUGGUCACUUCUAGUCAAUGAAAAAUGUAAACUUUUAGGAGAGAAUGUUUCUUAGGACUCACCCACUCCAUUCAAUGUUAUAUAUAAAAUAGUGUGAUCAAUCACAAUGUCCAUCUUUAGACAGUUGGUUAAAUAAAUUAUCUGGUCUUUGAAAAGACCGUGCUGGGCGCGGUGGCUCUUGCCUGUAAUCCCAGCACUUUGGGAGGCUGAGGCGGGCAGAUCACCUGAGAUCGGGAGUUUGAGACCAAGCCUGACCAAUAUGGAGAAACCCUGUCUCUACUAAGAACACAAAAUUAGCUGGGCAUGGUGGUGCAUGCCUGUAAUCCCAGCUACUUGGGAGGCCGAGGCAGGAGAAUUGCUUGAACCCGGGAGGCAGAGGUUGCAGUGAGCUGAGAUAGCGCCAUUGCACUCCAGCCUGGGCAACAAGAGCAAAACUCUGUCUCAAAAAAAAAAAAAAAUGAUGGAGCUCCGAAUGUGCUUAAGUGGAAAGAUAUCUAUGAAAUAUGGUGGUUUUUUAAAACACAAAAAUUAUAGAAUAUGGGAUCCCGUGUGUGUGUGUGUGUGUUUGAAUGAAAAAUGCUUAUGUAUUGACAGAACACUUCUAGAAUGAUACCCAAACUCCUGGAGUGGGAGUGGGGAAUGCCUUCUACGUACACACUGUUCUACUGUUUGAAUUUUUUAAUAUGAGCCCAAAUUGUAUAAUCUUUUUUUAAUAAAGGGGAGAAAAAUCACUUAC